GAUGAACGCUCGCUACAGGCUUAACACAUGCAAGUCGAGGGGCAGCGGGAUUGAAGCUUGCUUCAAUUGCCGGCGACCGGCGCACGGGUGAGUAACGCGUAUCCAACCUUCCGUACACUCAGGGAUAGCCUUUCGAAAGAAAGAUUAAUACCUGAUGGUAUGAUGAGAUUGCAUGAUAUCAUCAUUAAAGAUUUAUCGGUGUACGAUGGGGAUGCGUUCCAUUAGGUAGUAGGCGGGGUAACGGCCCACCUAGCCAACGAUGGAUAGGGGUUCUGAGAGGAAGGUCCCCCACAUUGGAACUGAGACACGGUCCAAACUCCUACGGGAGGCAGCAGUGAGGAAUAUUGGUCAAUGGACGAGAGUCUGAACCAGCCAAGUAGCGUGAAGGAUGAAGGUCCUACGGAUUGUAAACUUCUUUUAUAAGGGAAUAAACCCUCCCACGUGUGGGAGCUUGUAUGUACCUUAUGAAUAAGCAUCGGCUAACUCCGUG
rnacentral:rRNA from 1 species